CUAGUUUUUCAUUUCACCAGAUAGGGUUGUAUACAUUGGUCAGCCAAGUCUACUCCCCCCAUAAACUUGCUGUAGUCUGCAAUGCACUUCGGCUUUUCCAGAUGCUCAGUGCUACCUCUCACAGACACUGGCACUGUACUUUCGUCGUGCAUAGUAGACAGCAUGUAUACAUCUUUCCUAUCACUGAAGCGAAGAGCAAGCAACUCAUCCUGGUGGAGAGCUGAAGAGGAACCUCUACUGCUUCUGCCUCUUGCCAGGGCUUGGGGGAAACCCCUGC